GAUGAACGCUGGCGGCGUGCCUAAUACAUGCAAGUCGAGCGAACAGACGAGAGUGCUUGCACUCUCUGACGUUAGCGGCGGACGGGUGAGUAACACGUGGGUAACCUACCUAUAAGACUGGGAUAACUUCGGGAAACCGGAGCUAAUACCGGAUAAUAUUUAGCUUCGCAUGAAGCAAUAGUGAAAGACGGUUCUGCUGUCACUUAUAGAUGGACCCGCGGUGUAUUAGCUAGUUGGUGAGGUAACGGCUCACCAAGGCAACGAUACAUAGCCGACCUGAGAGGGUGAUCGGCCACACUGGGACUGAGACACGGCCCAGACUCCUACGGGUGGCAGCAGUAGGGAAUCUUCCGCAAUGGACGAAAGUCUGACGGAGCAAUGCCGCGUGAGUGAAGAAGGUUUUCGGAUCGUAAAACUCUGUUGUAAGGGAAGAACAAGUACGUUAGUAACUGAACGUACCUUGACGGUACCUUACCAGAAAGCCACGGCUAACUAUGUG
rnacentral:rRNA from 1 species